rnacentral:misc_RNA from 1 species
GAAAUGCGAUAAGUAGUGUGAAUUGCAGAAUUCAGUGAAUCAUCGAAUCUUUGAACGCACAUUGCGCCCCUUGGUAUUCCAUGGGGCAUGCCUGUUCGAGCGUCAUCUACACCCUCAAGCUCUGCUUGGUGUUGGGCGUCUUUGUCCCGCCUCCGCGCGCGGACUCGCCCCAAAUUCAUUGGCAGCGGUCCUUGCCUCCUCUCGCGCAGCACAUUGCGCUUCUCGAGGUGUUGCGGCCCGCGUCCAGAAAUCAAUCGUUACCGUCUUUGACCUCGGAUCAGGUAGGGAUACCCGCUGAACUUAAGC